AGAAUCAACGCUGGCGGCGUGCCUAACGACAUGCAAGUCGCACGAGAAAGGGUAGCAAUACCUGAGUACAGUGGCGCACGGGUGAGUAACACGUGAAUAAUCUACCUCCGAGUGGGGAAUAAACUGAGAGAAAUCUUAGCUAAUACCGCAUAACACUUACGAGUCAAAGCAGCAAUGCGCUUGGAGAGGAGUUCGCGGCCGAUUAGUUAGUUGGCGGGGUAAUGGCCCACCAAGACGAUGAUCGGUAUCCGGCCUGAGAGGGCGCACGGACACACUGGAACUGAAACACGGUCCAGACUCCUACGGAGGCAGCAGUGGGGAAUUUUGCGCAAUGGGGGAAACCCUGACGCAGCAACGCCGCGUGGAGGAUGAAGCCCCUUGGGGUGUAAACUCCUUUCGAUCGGGAAGAUAAUGACGGUACCGAUAUAAGAAGCCCGGCUAACUUCGCGCCAGCAGCCGC
rnacentral:rRNA from 1 species